rnacentral:tRNA from 1 species
GCUGCGGUGGCCUAGCUGGUUAGGGCGCCAGACUCAUAGGGUUUUGAGCAAAAAACGAAGCGCCCGGAUCUGAGACAUCUGGAGGUCGGGGGUUCGGAUCCCCCUCGCAGCA